AUUGAACGCUGGCGGCAUGCCUUACACAUGCAAGUCGAACGGCAGCACGGGAGCAAUCCUGGUGGCGAGUGGCGAACGGGUGAGUAAAGUAUCGGAACGUGCCCAGUCGUGGGGGAUAACGUAGCGAAAGUUACGCUAAUACCGCAUACGAUCUAUGGAUGAAAGCGGGGGAUCGCAAGACCUCGCGCGAUUGGAGCGGCCGAUAUCAGAUUAGGUAGUUGGUGGGGUAAAGGCUCACCAAGCCGACGAUCUGUAGCUGGUCUGAGAGGACGACCAGCCACGCUGGGACUGAGACACGGCCCUGACUCCUACGGGAGGCAGCAGUGGGGAAUUUUGGACAAUGGGCGAAAGCCUGAUCCAGCCAUGCCGCGUGCAGGAUGAAGGCCUUCGGGUUGUAAACUGCUUUUGUACGGAACGAAAAGGUUUGGGCUAAUAAGCUGAGCUCAUGACGGUACCGUAAGAAUAAGCACCGGCUAACUACGUGCCAGCCGCCGCCGUAA
rnacentral:rRNA from 1 species